UUACAGGGCAAUCAUCCGAUUCCGUGUCUAACUUUAACUUUAAUUGGCCGUUUUAUUUAAAUUUCUUUUAUAAUUAUUAUUUUUAAAAUAUGAAUAGUACUUUACUUGUGACUUAUAUUUUUAAUUUUUUUAAAAAAAUUUUAAAUAAGAUAAACGAAAAGUUAGACGUGGAAAAACAUGGCUAUACUUAAA
rnacentral:pre_miRNA from 1 species